rnacentral:piRNA from 1 species
UGAUAGCCACAGGAUUAUGCUCAGG